rnacentral:rRNA from 1 species
UACGUAGGCGGUUAAUCAAGUCAGGUGUGAAAUGCCUGAGCUCAACUGAGGCACUGCGCUUGAAACUGAUUAGCUAGAGUAUUCCAGGGGUGUGCGGACUGCCAGUGGAGCGGUGAAAUGCGUUGAUAUUGGCAGGAACACCGGAGGCGAAGGCGGCACACUGGGGGAUAACUGACGCUGAGGUACGAAAGCCAGGGUAGCGAACG